rnacentral:rRNA from 1 species
AACGUAGGAGACAAACGUUAUCCGGAGUUACUGGGCGUAAAGGGCGUGUAGGUGGUUUCGUAAGUCUGGCGUGAAAUUUUUCGGCUUAACCGGGAAAGGUCGUCGGAUACUGCGGAGCUAGAGGACGGUAGAGGCGUGUGGAAUUCCGGGUGUAGUGGUGAAAUGCGUAGAGAUCCGGAGGAACACCAGUGGCGAAGGCGACACGCUGGGCCGGAUCCGACGCUGAGGCGCGAAAGCGUGGGGAGCAAACAGG